rnacentral:tRNA from 4 species
AAAGGAAGUGGCAGAAUGGUUAUGCGGCUGGCUUGAAACCAGCACAAGGGGGUUCAACUCCUCCCUUCCUCG